AAUGAACGCUGGCGGCGUGCUUAACACAUGCAAGUCGUACGAGAAAUUCGCUUUCGGCCGGAGAGUAAAGUGGCGAACGGGUGAGUAACGCGUGGGUAAUCUACCCUCGAAUUGGGGAUAACACACCGAAAGGUGUGCUAAUACCGAAUAAGACUCCGGUCACCUCGGUGGCUGGGGUAAAAGAUGGCCUCUGCUUGCAAGCUGUCGCUUGCGGAUGAGCCCGCGUACCAUUAGCUUGUUGGUGGGGUAAUGGCCUACCAAGGCGACGAUGGUUAGCUGGUCUGAGCGGAUGGCCAGCCACAGUGGAACUGGAACACGGUCCAGACUCCUACGGGAGGCAGCAGUGAGGAAUUUUGCGCAAUGGGGGAAACCCUGACGCAGCAACGCCGCGUGAGUGAAGAAGGCCUUCGGGUUGUAAAGCUCUGUCGAGUGGGAAGAAACUUUUUCGGUCGAAUAAAUCGAAAAAUUGACGGUACCGCUGAAGGAAGCACCGGCUAACUCCGUGCCAGCCGCCGCUGUAAUAC
rnacentral:rRNA from 1 species